CUAGCGACUUCAGAGUUUGAUCCUGGCUCAGGACGAACGCUGGCGGCGUGCCUAACACAUGCAAGUCGAACGAAGCAUUUGAUUGGAUCUCUUCGGAGUGAAGCUCUUAUGACUUAGUGGCGGACGGGUGAGUAACGCGUGAGUAACCUGCCUUUCAGAGGGGGAUAACAGUUGGAAACGACUGCUAAUACCGCAUAACGUGACGAGAUCGCAUGAUCUUGUUACCAAAGCUGAGGCGCUGAAAGAUGGACUCGCGUCUGAUUAGAUAGUUGGUGAGGUAACGGCUCACCAAGUCGACGAUCAGUAGCCGGACUGAGAGGUUGAACGGCCACAUUGGGACUGAGACACGGCCCAG
rnacentral:rRNA from 1 species